GCUGGCGUAGCUCAGUGGUAGAGCGACGGUUUUGUAAACCGUUGGUCGGGGGUUCAAAUCCCUCCGCCAGCU
rnacentral:tRNA from 1 species